rnacentral:rRNA from 1 species
AGUGAACGCUGGCGGUAGGCCUAACACAUGCAAGUCGAACGGCAGCACAGUAAGAGCUUGCUCUUACGGGUGGCGAGUGGCGGACGGGUGAGGAAUACAUCGGAAUCUACUUUUUCGUGGGGGAUAACGUAGGGAAACUUACGCUAAUACCGCAUACGACCUACGGGUGAAAGCAGGGGAUCUUCGGACCUUGCGCGAUUGAAUGAGCCGAUGUCGGAUUAGCUAGUUGGCGGGGUAAAGGCACCAAGGCGACGAUCCGUAGCUGGUCUGAGAGGAUGAUCAGCCACACUGGAACUGAGACACGGUCCAGACUCCUACGGGAGGCAGCAGUGGGGAAUAUUGGACAAUGGGCGCAAGCCUGAUCCAGCCAUACCGCGUGGGUGAAGAAGGCCUUCGGGUUGUAAAGCCCUUUUGUUGGGAAAGAAAAGCAGCAGGUUAAUACCCCGCUGUUCUGACGGUACCCAAAGAAUAAGCACCGGCUAACUUCGUG